ensembl:lncRNA
GUCUAUGAGACCGGGCUGUCUCCCCAGGUUCUGUGGAGCUGUCUAUGAGACCGGGCUGUCUCCCCAGGUUCUGUGGAGCAGUCUAUGAGACCGGGCUGUCUCUCCAGGUUCUGUGGAGCAGUCUAUGAGACCGGGCUGUCUCUCCAGGUUCUGUGGAGCAGUCUAUGAGACCGGGCUGUCUCUCCAGGUUCUGUGGAGCAGUCUAUGAGACCGGGCUGUCUCUCCAGCUCGCCAGUGUGUUAAAGUGUCUGGAUGAGUGGAAAUAAAUCAUUAUCUCUACAGCCUCAGUUGAUACGUGAUCAAA